rnacentral:rRNA from 1 species
AGAGACAGCAGCAGCCGCGGUAAUACGUAGGUGGCAAGCGUUGUCCGGAAUUAUUGGGCGUAAAGGGCUCGCAGGCGGUUUCUUAAGUCUGAUGUGAAAGCCCCCGGCUCAACCGGGGAGGGUCAUUGGAAACUGGGAAACUUGAGUGCAGAAGAGGAGAGUGGAAUUCCACGUGUAGCGGUGAAAUGCGUAGAGAUGUGGAGGAACACCAGUGGCGAAGGCGACUCUCUGGUCUGUAACUGACGCUGAGGAGCGAAAGCGUGGGGAGCGAACAGGAUUAGAUACCCCAGUAGUCCCUGUCUCUUAUCC